AGCGAACGCUGGCGGCAGGCCUAACACAUGCAAGUCGAACGAACCUUUCGGGGUUAGUGGCGGACGGGUGAGUAACACGUGGGAACGUGCCUUUAGGUUCGGAAUAACUCAGGGAAACUUGUGCUAAUACCGAAUGUGCCCUUAGGGGGAAAGAUUAAUCGCCUUUAGAGCGGCCCGCGUCUGAUUAGCUAGUUGGUUGAGGUAAUGGCUCACCAAGGCGACGAUCAGUAGCUGGUCUGAGAGGAUGAUCAGCCACAUUGGGACUGAGACACGGCCCAAACUCCUACGGGAGGCAGCAGUGGGGAAUCUUGCGCAAUCGGCGAAAGCCUGACGCAGCCAUGCCGCGUGAAUGAUGAAGGUCUUAGGAUUGUAAAAUUCUUUCACCGGGGACGAUAAUGACGAUACCCGGAGAAGAAGCCCCGGCUAACUUCGUG
rnacentral:rRNA from 1 species